UACGAAGGGGGCUAGCGUUGCUCGGAAUCACUGGGCGUAAAGCGCACGUAGGCGGAUUGCUAAGUCAGGGGUGAAAUCCUGGAGCUCAACUCCAGAACUGCCUUUGAUACUGGCGAUCUUGAGUCCGGGAGAGGUGAGUGGAAUUCCUAGUGUAGAGGUGAAAUUCGUAGAUAUUAGGAAGAACACCAGUGGCGAAGGCGGCUCACUGGCCCGGUACUGACGCUGAGGCGCGAAAGCGUGGGGAGCAAACAGG
rnacentral:rRNA from 1 species